GUCUACGGUCACACCACCCAGAAUGCACCCGAUCUCCUCUGAUCUUAGAAGCUAAGCAGGGUCAGGCCUGGUUAGUACUUGGAUGGGAGAAACCUAAGCUCACGGGACU
rnacentral:rRNA from 1 species